GGUUCACUUUAACACUGAGGCGUGACGACGAGGCACUACGGUGCUGAAGCAACAAAUGCCCUGCUUCCAGGAAAAGCCUCUAAGCAUCAGGUAACAUCAAAUCGUACCCCAAACCGACACAGGUGGUCAGGUAGAGAAUACCAAGGCGCUUGAGAGAACUCGGGUGAAGGAACUAGGCAAAAUGGUGCCGUAACUUCGGGAGAAGGCACGCUGACACGUAGGUGAAGUGAUUUACUCAUGGAGCUGAAGUCAGUCGAAGAUACCAGCUGGCUGCAACUGUUUAUUAAAAACACAGCACUGUGCAAACACGAAAGUGGACGUAUACGGUGUGACGCCUGCCCGGUGCCGGAAGGUUAAUUGAUGGGGUCAGCGCAAGCGAAGCUCCUGAUCGAAGCCCCGGUAAACGGCGGCCGUAACUAUAACG
rnacentral:rRNA from 1 species